AGGGCGAGUACGACAAAUCUGGUCCAUCCAUUGUCCACAAGAAGUGCUUCUAAGGUGUUGCUGCUAUUUUUACAUUUGUUCGCGAGUUCUUUUUUAUUUUUUUUGUUCUUUCUGCUAAAGCUAUUAUGUCAUCCACAGUGAACUCAGGUCUGCUGUUAUAGGCAAGUCAUCGAGAUGGGGCUAUCAAAGAAGGGUGAUUAAAAACAUUGUACCGCUGAUACUAUUUCAUGUUUCCAGUGCAAGCCUCUUUUGUAAGUUGACAAACUCGAUUUGUAAAUAUGUUUGGGACUCAACUAGUGGUUAGAGUAUUGAUUUUGUAAGAUUUUUGUCCAGAAAAUCAAAUUAGAAAGAUUACUCGCGAUGAUUGAAUAAGCUCGAAGAAGUGGAUUUGAAUUUCAAUUCGUGUCUUUUUUUUAUGUGUGUGUGUG
rnacentral:lncRNA from 1 species